rnacentral:rRNA from 1 species
GAUCCUGGCUCAGGACGAACGCUGGCGGCGCGCCUAACACAUGCAAGUCGAACGAGCGAGAGGAGGUUUACUUUCUCAAGCGAGUGGCGAACGGGUGAGUAACGCGUGAGGAACCUGCCUCAAAGAGGGGGACGACAGUUGGAAACGACUGCUAAUACCGCAUAAGCCCACGACCCGGCAUCGGGUAGAGGGAAAAGGAGCAAUCCGCUUUGAGAUGGCCUCGCGUCCGAUUAGCUAGUUGGUGAGGUAA